rnacentral:rRNA from 1 species
GAAAUGCGUAGAUAUUAGGAAGAACACCAGUGACGAAGGCGGCUUUCUGGACAGUAACUGACGCUGAGGCGCGAAAGCGUGGGGAGCAAACAGGAUUAGAUACCCUGGUAGUCCACGCUGUAAACGAUGGAUACUAGGUGUAGGAGGUAUCGACCCCUUCUGUGCCGNGAGUUAACAGCAAUAAAGUAUCGCCACACUGGGCGAGUACAGGCCGCAAGCCUGAAACUCAAAGGAAUUGACGGGGGCCCGCACAAGCAGUGGAGUAUGUGGUUUAAUUCGAAGCAACGCGAAGAACCUUACCAGGCGCUUGACAUCCCUCGGAUAACAUAGAGAUAUGUUAGUCCUUCGGGACGAGGAGACAGGUGGUGCAUGGUUGUCGUCAGCUCGUGUCGUGAGAUGUUGUGCUUAAGUCCCGCAACGAGCGCAACCCCUAUUGUUAGUUGCCAUCAUUAAGUUGGGCACUCUAACGAGACUGCCGGUGACAAAUCGGAGGAAGGUGGGGACGACGUCAAUCAUCAUGCCCCUUAUGUCAUGGGUACACACGUAUACAAUGGUCAUACAAAGGGAAGCAAUACGCAAGGAGGAGCA